rnacentral:ncRNA from 2 species
GAAUUCUGGUCGGGAGAGACCACCAUGGAUGGUGGCGCCGAAGGAGCAACCGCCCCGGAAACUCUCAGGCAAAAGGACCGACCAGACCAC